AGAGUUUGUCCUGGCUCAGGACGAACGCUGGCGGCGUGCCUAAUACAUGCAAGUCGAGCGAGCUUGCCUAGAUGAUUUUAGUGCUUGCACUAAAUGAAACUAGAUACAAGCGAGCGGCGGACGGGUGAGUAACACGUGGGUAACCUGCCCAAGAGACUGGGAUAACACCUGGAAACAGAUGCUAAUACCGGAUAACAACACUAGACGCAUGUCUAGAGUUUGAAAGAUGGUUCUGCUAUCACUCUUGGAUGGACCUGCGGUGCAUUAGCUAGUUGGUAAGGUAACGGCUUACCAAGGCAAUGAUGCAUAGCCGAGUUGAGAGACUGAUCGGCCACAUUGGGACUGAGACACGGCCCAAACUCCUACGGGAGGCAGCAGUAGGGAAUCUUCCACAAUGGACGAAAGUCUGAUGGAGCAACGCCGCGUGAGUGAAGAAGGGUUUCGGCUCGUAAAGCUCUGUUGGUAGUGAAGAAAGAUAGAGGUAGUAACUGGCCUUUAUUUGACGGUAAUUACUUAGAAAGUCACGGCUAACUACGUGCCAGCAGCCGCGGUAAUACGUAGGUGGCAAGCGUUGUCCGGGUUUAUUGGGCGUAAAGCGAGUGCAGGCGGUUCAAUAAGUCUGAUGUGAAAGCCUUCGGCUCAACCGGAGAAUUGCAUCAGAAACUGUUGAACUUGAGUGCAGAAGAGGAGAGUGGAACUCCAUGUGUAGCGGUGGAAUGCGUAGAUAUAUGGAAGAACACCAGUGGCGAAGGCGGCUCUCUGGUCUGCAACUGACGCUGAGGCUCGAAAGCAUGGGUAGCGAACAGGAUUAGAUACCCUGGUAGUCCAUGCCGUAAACGAU
rnacentral:rRNA from 1 species